rnacentral:rRNA from 1 species
UACGUAGGGGGCAAGCGUUGUCCGGAUUUAUUGGGCGUAAAGAGCGUGUAGGCGGUUUGGUAGGUCCGCUGUGAAAACUCGAGGCUCAACCUCGAGACGCCGGUGGAAACCAUCAGACUAGAGUCCGGAAGAGGAGAGUGGAAUUCCUGGUGUAGCGGUGAAAUGCGCAGAUAUCAGGAGGAACACCGGUGGCGAAGGCGGGUCUCUGGGCCGAUAUUGACGCUGGAGGAGCGAAAGCGUGGGGAGCGAACAGG